rnacentral:rRNA from 1 species
UCGGGAAUUUUGGGCAAUGGGCGAAAGCCUGACCCAGCAACGCCGCGUGAAGGAUGAAGUAUUUCGGUAUGUAAACUUCGUAAGAAUAGGAAGAAUAAAUGACGGUACUAUUUGUAAGGUCCGGCUAACUACGUGCCAGCAGCCGCGGUAAUACGUAGGGACCAAGCGUUGUUCGGAUUUACUGGGCGUAAAGGGCGCGUAGGCGGUGUGUCAAGUCAGUUGUGAAAUCUCCGAGCUUAACUCGGAACGGUCAACUGAUACUGUCACACUAGAGUACAGAAGGGGCAAUCGGAAUUCUUGGUGUAGCGGUGAAAUGCGUAGAUAUCAAGAGGAACACCUGAGGUGAAGACGGGUUGCUGGGCUGACACUGACGCUGAGGCGCGAAAGCCAGGGGAGCAAACGGGAUUAGAUACCCGGGUAGUCCCUGAGCGGGCUGGCAAGGCGCAU